rnacentral:misc_RNA from 1 species
AACUGAUACUACCUGCGGGAACCUGCGGAAGGAUCAUUACCGAGUGUAGGGCUCCCCCCUCCCGAGGGGGAAAGCCCAAACCUCCCACCCGUGUCUACUGUACCUUCGUUGCUUCGGCGGGCCCGCCGUCUCCCCCCCUCCCGGGGGGGCCCGGCCGCCGGGGGGCACCUUCGCCCCCGGGCCCGCGCCCGCCGGAGACACAUGAACUCUGUCUGAUCUAGUGGAGUCUGAGUUGAUUGU